UACGUAGGUGGCAAGCGUUGUCCGGAUUUACUGGGCGUAAAGAGCGCGCAGGCGGUCGUGCAAGUCGCGUGUGAAAGCCCCCCGGCUCAACUGGGGAGGGUCAUUCGAUACUGUUCGACUCGAAGGCAGGAGAGGGAAGUGGAAUUCCCGGUGUAGUGGUGAAAUGCGUAGAUAUCGGGAGGAACACCAGUGGCGAAGGCGACUUCCUGGCCUGUUCUUGACGCUGAGGCGCGAAAAGCUAGGGGAGCAAACGGGG
rnacentral:rRNA from 1 species